GACGAACGCUGGCGGCGUGCCUAAUACAUGCAAGUCGAACGCAGGGGGGACGGGUGAGUAACACGUGGGUAACCUCCCGUCAGAGGGGAUAACACUUGGAAACAGGUGCUAAACCGAUACUGGUUGAUGGACCCGCUGUGAGUUAGCUACUUGGUGAGGGAACGGCUCACCAAGGCCACGAGGCAUAGCUGACCUGAGAGGGUGAGCGGCCACACUGGGACGGAGACACGGCCCAGACUCCUACGGUAGGCAGCAGUAGGGAAUCUUGGGCAAUGGACGAAAGUCUGACCGAGCAACGCCGCGUGAGUGAAGAAGGUUUUCGGAGCGUAAAACUCUGUUGUUAGAGAAGCGUGAUCUAACCAGAAAGCCACGGCUAACUACGUGCCAGCAGCCGCGGUAAUAC
rnacentral:rRNA from 1 species